GACGAACGCUGGCGGCGUGCUUAACACAUGCAAGUCGAACGGAAAGGCCCUGCUUUCGUGGUGUGCUCGAGUGGCGAACGGGUGAGUAACACGUGAGUAACCUGCCCUUGACUUUGGUAUAACUUCAGGAAACUGGGGCUAAUACCGGAUAGGAGCUCCUGCUGCAUUGUGGGGGUUGGAUAGUUUCGGCGGAUGGGGAUGGACUCGCGGCUUAGCAGCUUGUUGGUGGUGUAGUGGCUUACGAAGGCUUUGACGGGUAGCCGGCCUGAGAGGGUGACCGGCAACAUUGGGACUGAGAGACGGCCCAGACUCCUAGGGGAGGCAGCGGUGGGGAAUAUUGAACAAUGGGCGGAAGGCUGAUGCAGCAACGCCGCGUGCGGGAUGACGGCCUUCGGGUUGUAAACCGCUUUCGCCUGUGACGAAGCGUGAGUGACGGUAAUGGGUAAAGAAGCACCGGCUAACUACGUG
rnacentral:rRNA from 1 species